GGCACACCGAACCUGAUGGAGAGGGCUCGUUGGCAGAAGAUUUGGCUGGUGGGGUGGUCGCCCAACCUGGUGUCGAGAAGGCUCUACACAUUCUCUCCUGCAUCGUUCUUCUUGGUGACGGUUGAAGCAGUAAAGGCGUCGGUUCUCCUGCCAGUAGCAGCAGUGGCACGAGGAUGAGGGUGAGGUGUCGUGGCCAGCGUUCGGCCACUAUCGGAGAAGGUGGAGCAAGGGUGGAGGUUGCAGCACUGCAUGAAGCGAACUCUAAAUGCUAUUAUGUGUCAUCAACCUUCCCAUGCGCACCAGAAUAAGAAGUUUGAUGUUAUCGUAUAAACACAAUUAUCUCCAUGUUGGAAGUUGCUUCAGGAAGAAUAACAGGUUUGCUAUAAAACUUUGUCAACGGUUGAAGGGAAAGCAGAAAGUUCAUGCCUACUAAACUUGCUUCAUGAAGAAUAGCAGGUUUGCUACUAAUUCUGGUCGUCUUGGUGCAUCCCAGGUUUCUUACUAAUGUUGAUUUUUUUAAUGCAUUGGAGGUUUGCUACCAAAUUUCCGAAAAGAAUUAAUCCCUUUUUGAAUACCAUCUGUGGAGGUAUUAGCUGAAACCAGGGUAUUCAGAGAACACCUAAUAUAUUUGUGGACCAGUACUUGUUCUGGUGAUACAAGGAGGCUGGGUCUGAUCUGCUGUUACCCAAGCUUGCCAAGAAGGCUUCAUAGAGAUUAGUGUCUUACCGGAAACAAAUGCCCCUAUAGAGUCUACAGGGCAAGGUGGCUACCUAUCCCUGAAAUGGCACAUAACGAUCAGCUUUCCUACUUUCAAUCUAUAUAUUACUUCAAAAAAGAUUCAUUGACAUCACAGUGCUUGCUUUCACGCUCAUUGGCCAAACUUCAAGGGAAAGAUGCCAAUACUAGAAAUUG